rnacentral:rRNA from 1 species
AGGACGAACGCUGGCGGCGUGCUUAACACAUGCAAGUCGAGCGGAAAGGCCUUUCGGGGUACUCGAGCGGCGAACGGGUGAGUAACACGUGAGUAAUCUGCCCAUCGCUUCAGGAUAGCCAUCGGAAACGGUGAUUAAUACUGGAUAUGACAUUCCUUCGCAUGUUGGGGUGUGGAAAGUUUUUUUCGGCGUGGAUGUGCUCGCGGCCGUAUCAGCUUGUUGGUGGGGUAAGUGGCCGUACCCAAGGCUUUGUACGGGUAGCCGGCCUGAGAGGGUGACGGCCACGACUGGACUAGAGACACGGCCCACGACUCCUACGGGAGGCAGCGAGUGGGAAGUAUUGGACAAGUGGGCGGGAAGGACCUGAGUCCAGCAACGCCGCGUGAGGAUGACGGCCGUUCGGUUGUAAACCUACUUUCAAGCACC